rnacentral:lncRNA from 1 species
AUCUGCAUUGAACUUGGUGAAGCCCCAUUUCUUUGAGAUGUGGAUCUUCUGGCAGCCAGGGAACUUGAACUUGGCUCUGCGCAGAGCCUCAAUCACACAUUCCUUAUUCUACAGCUUGGUUCGGAUAGACAUGAUGACUUGGCCAAUGUGAACCCUGGCUACUGUGCCCUGGGGCUUCCCAAAGGCACCGCGCAUACCUGUCUGGAGCCUGUCAGCCCCAGCACAGGACAACAUCUUGUUGAUAUUGAUGACAUGGAAAGGGUGGAGCCUCACCCGGAUAUGAAAGCCAUCCUUACAACAACUCUUACCAUGUAUUUGUUGGCACAAAUACGGGCAGCCUCCAGCGCUUCAGAAGAGAGUUGCACAUAUUCAUCUGACAUCAUGUGGCCACAAAGUGGGAAUUCAUCCACUUUUGCUUUCUUCCAUCCC